GAUGAACGCUAGCUACAGGCUUAACACAUGCAAGUCGAGCGACCGACGCACGGGUGAGUAACACGUAUCUAACUUACCUUUUACUCGGGGAUAGCCUUUCGAAAGAAAGAUUAAUAAACGAUGUUAAGGACGGGGAUGAGUUCUACUAUGUUGUUGGUGAGGUAACGGCUCACCAAGCCUUCGAUGGAUAGGGGUUCUGAGAGGAAGGUCCCCCACAUUGGAACUGGGACACGGUCCAUACUCCUACGGGCGGCAGCAGUGAGGAAUAUUGGUCAGUGGGCGUUAGCCUGAACCAGCCAAGUAGCGUGAAGGAUGAAGGCUUAUGGGUCGUAAACUUCUUUUAUAUAAGAAUAUGUAUUAUAUGAAUAAGGAUCGGCUAACUCCGUGCCAGCAGCCGCGGUAAUAC
rnacentral:rRNA from 1 species